UACGUAGGUGGCAAGCGUUGUCCGGAUUUACUGGGCGUAAAGAGCGCGCAGGCGGUCGGAUAAGUCAAAUGUGAAAGCCCCCGGCUCAACUGGGGAGGGUCAUUCGAUACUGUUCGACUCGAAGGCAGGAGAGGGAAGUGGAAUUCCCGGUGUAGUGGUGAAAUGCGUAGAUAUCGGGAGGAACACCAGUGGCGAAGGCGGCAUCCUGGACCAACACUGACGCUGAGGAGCGAAAGCCAGGGGAGCAAACGGG
rnacentral:rRNA from 1 species